AUCAGAUAAGUUUACUUUUGUAAACAUACUAGAUAUUAAGCAGUUUAGAUUAUAAAAGAAAUAAUUGUUUGGAUGGGAAGUGAAUAAUGGUAUCUGACUGUAUGUGCCUGUAACAUUUCAGGGUCAGACUGGUGCUCCUGGAUUUCUUGGUGAUGAGGGCUCAUUUGUGAGUAAAGUGUGAAUUCUUGUUACGCAUUAGACAAGGGCACACUGUUCACCCUGACAAUGACUGUCACUUUGAGGUGAAUAACCCCCUGAAAGAACUCCACUAAAUGCCCUCAUCCUGUGCAGCUCUCAAACUGAAUGCGGAUUAUACCUGGGUUGUUAUCCCAGAUAUAAUGAACAUAAAGAAUUGUACCCUAUUUAUUAUCUGUGCUGAAUUUGUUUUACUUCAUGCUUCUGCAACAUUGGAAUUCCCCCUCUGUGUGACAAAUAAGGAAAUUUGAAUUGAAUGAAAUGUAAAGGUGACACCAUAAAUGGAUGUUACAGGGAUUUGAAGCAUGUGCCUGGUAUUCCCUCUAAUGGACACAUGAUGGUAGAUGUGGACCUAAUCUCUUCAUGGGCUAAUGCAGCUUGUGUUUAAUAAAUGCUUGAGUUGUUCAACUUAACCAGUGAAUAGUUGUGAAAUAUUUCAAAUUUAAUAUAAUUGGACAUUCCCUGACACUAAUAUUCUAGUAUGAGCCAGUAUAAUCUAAUAUUGUGUGACUUUACUACACCACUAACGAUAUGAUAUUGAUAAGGGUCAUCCUGGAGCAGGAGGUGAGCCUGGUUUGCCAGGAGUGGAUGGCUGUAAUGGAGCGAAAGGAUUACCAGGGGUACCUGGUAAUCAUGGUUUGGAUGGUUUCCAUGGGUCGCCUGGGUUACCUGGACCAAAGGGAAUUAAAGGAGAUCCUUACUAUGUUGCCCUUCUGGUACUUCCUGGGGAACGUGGGAAAGAUGGAGGACAUGGUUUACCUGUAUGUGUCAUAG
rnacentral:lncRNA from 1 species